GACGAACGCUGGCGGCGUGGAUUAGGCAUGCAAGUCGAACGGUAGGAUACCUUCGGGUAUCUGAGAGUGGCGAACGGGUGAGUAACACGUAGGUGAUCUACCCUCAAGAUUGGGACAACCCAGGGAAACUUGGGCUAAUACCGGAUGAAGGCAGCAGUGAUGUUGUUUGAAAGGUGGCGUAAGCUGCCGUUUGGGGAUGAGCCUGCGCUCUAUUAGUUAGUUGGCGGGGUAAAGGCCCACCAAGGCGAUGAUAGAUAGGCGGCCUUAACGGGUGGUCGCCCACACUGGGAUUGAGAUACGGCCCAGACUCCUACGGGAGGCAGCAGUCGAGAAUAGUCUACAAUGGCCGAAAGGCUGAUAGUGCGACGCCGCGUGAACGAAGAAGCCCUUCGGGGUGUAAAGUUCUUUUAUAUGUGAGCAGUGCUUUCUAUGUGAACAGCAUGGGGAGAGAGAUAUUAGCAUAUGAAUAAGCAACGGCUAACUCCGUGCCAG
rnacentral:rRNA from 1 species